rnacentral:misc_RNA from 1 species
CCGAGUGAGGGCCCCGGCCCGACCUCCAACCCUUUGUUGACCAACACUUGUUGCCUCGGGGGCGACCCGGCCUCCGCGCCGGGGUCCCCGGUGGACCACGAACGCUGUAUCAAUGCGUCGGAGUACCUAGCGAAUCAAUCA